rnacentral:rRNA from 1 species
CCUACGGGAGGCAGCAGUGGGGAAUAUUGGACAAUGGGCGCAAGCCUGAUCCAGCAAUGCCGCGUGUGUGAAGAAGGCCUGCGGGUUGUAAAGCACUUUAAGCAGGGAAGAAAGGCGGGAGGCUAAUACCCUCUCGCAUUGACGUUACCUGCAGAAUAAGCACCGGCUAACUCCGUGCCAGCAGCCGCGGUAAUACGGAGGGUGCGAGCGUUAAUCGGAAUUACUGGGCGUAAAGCGCGCGUAGGCGGUUUGUUAAGUCAGCUGUGAAAGCCCCGGGCUUAACCUGGGAAUGGCAGUUGAUACUGGCGAGCUAGAGUGUGGUAGAGGGGUGUGGAAUUUCCGGUGUAGCAGUGAAAUGCGUAGAGAUCGGAAGGAACACCAGUGGCGAAGGCGGCACCCUGGACCAACACUGACGCUGAGGUGCGAAAGCGUGGGGAGC